AUGGCGAGCUGCCGGAGGAGCGCGGCCAUCGCUGCCGCCUUGGUGCUGCUGGCGUUCGGGUGCGGCAUGGCCGAGAGCCGGCGCGUGGCCAGGAUGGGCCUCGGCAUUGACCUGGGCGGCGGGGAGGGCGCCGGGCUCGGCCUCGGCCUUGGUCUCGGGGUUGGAGCGGGCACGGGAGGGGUGUCCGCGUCCGGAUCAGGCUCCGGCUCCGGCUCCGUGGCUGGAGCGGGCUCGACCUCUGAGUCGAGAUCCGGCUCGGUUUCUGUUGGAGGUGCCAGCUCGUCUGCCGGGUCAAGCGCUGGGUCCAACGCCGGAUCGGCCGGGUCAGGGGCGGGGUCUUCCGCCGGUUCGGGGGCGGGUUACGGUGGCGGGCAGGGCUAUGGCGGUGGAGGUGGCGGUGGUUCUGGUUCCGGGUCUGGGUAUGGCGAGGGCGGAGGGUAUGGUCGGGGAUCGGGGAAUGGAUCGGGCUUCGGGUUUGGGGAGGGCCGUGGUUUUGGGUCUGGUUCAGCUGGAAACCCUUGA
rnacentral:rRNA from 1 species